rnacentral:rRNA from 1 species
ACGUAGGAGACGAGCGUUAUCCGGAAUUACUGGGCGUAAAGCGUGCGCAGGCGGCUCUAUAAGACAGAUGUGAAAUCCCCGGGCUUAACCUGGGAACUGCGUUUGUGACUGUAGGGCUUGAGUGCGGCAGAGGGGGGUGGAAUUCCGCGUGUAGCAGUGAAAUGCGUAGAUAUGCGGAGGAGCACCGAUGGCGAAGGCAAUCCCCUGGGCCUGCACUGACGCUCAUGCACGAAAGCGUGUGGAGCAAACAG